CGAAAUCGGUAGACGCUACGGACUUAAAAUCCGUCGAAUUUUGAAAUCGUGAGGGUUCAAGUCCCUCUAUCCC
rnacentral:tRNA from 1 species